rnacentral:rRNA from 1 species
UUGACCUCGGAUCAGGUAGGGAUACCCGCUGAAGUUAAGCAUAUCAAUAAGCGGAGGAAAAGAAACCAACAGGGAUUGCCUCAGUAACGGCGAGUGAAGCGGCAAAAGCUCAAAUUUGAAAUCUGGCUCCUUCGGGGCCCGAGUUGUAAUUUGCAGAGGAUGCUUCGGGCGUGGCCGCGGUCUAAGUCCCCUGGAACGGGGCGUCGCAGAGGGUGAGAAUCCCGUCUUCGGCCGGCCGGCUUCGCCCGUGUGAAGCUCCUUCGACGAGUCGAGUUGUUUGGGAAUGCAGCUCUAAAUGGGUGGUAAAUUUCAUCUAAAGCUAAAUAUUGGUCGGAGACCGAUAGCGCACAAGUAGAGUGAUCGAAAGAUGAAAAGCACUUUGAAAAGAGAGUUAAACAGCAUGUGAAAUUGUUGAAAGGGAAGCGCUUGCGACCAGAGUCGGCCGCGGGGGUUCAGCGGGCAUUCGUUGCCCGUGCACUCCCCCGCGGGCGGGCCAGCGUCGGUUUUGACGGCCGGUCAAAGGCCCCCGGAAUGUGUCGCCUCUCGGGGCGUCUUAUAGCCGGGGGUGCAAUGCGGCCAGUCGGGACCGAGGAACGCGCUUCGGCACGGACGCUGGCUUAAUGGUCGUAAGCGACC